rnacentral:rRNA from 1 species
GACGAACGCUGGCGGCGUGCCUAAUACAUGCAAGUAGAACGCUGAAGGAGGAGCUUGCUUCUCUGGAUGAGUUGCGAACGGGUGAGUAACGCGUAGGUAACCUGCCUGGUAGCGGGGGAUAACUAUUGGAAACGAUAGCUAAUACCGCAUAAGAGUAGAUGUCGCAUGACAUUUGCUUAAAAGGUGCAAUUGCAUCACUACCAGAUGGACCUGCGUUGUAUUAGCUAGGUGGUGAGGUAACGGCUCACCAAGGCAACGAUACAUAGCCGACCUGAGAGGGUGAUCGGCCACACUGGGACUGAGACACGGCCCAGACGCCUACGGGAGGCAGCAGUAGGGAAUCUUCGGCAAUGGACGGUAGUCUGACCGAGCAACGCCGCGUGAGUGAAGAAGGUUUUCGGAUCGUAAAGCUCUGUUGUAAGAGAAGAACGAGUGUGAGAGUGGAAAGUUCACACUGUGACGGUACCUUACCAGAAAGGGACGGCUAACUACGUG